rnacentral:rRNA from 1 species
GGGUUGUGAGGUUAAGCGACUAAGCGUACACGGUGGAUGCCCUGGCAGUCAGAGGCGAUGAAGGGCGUGCUAAUCUGCGAUAAGCGCCGGUAAGGUGAUAUGAACCGUUAUAACCGGCGAUACCCGAAUGGGGAAACCCAGUGUGACUCGUCACACUAUCAUUAACUGAAUCCAUAGGUUAAUGAGGCGAACCGGGGGAACUGAAACAUCUAAGUACCCCGAGGAAAAGAAAUCAACCGAGAUUCCCCCAGUAGCGGCGAGCGAACGGGGAGGAGCCCAGAGCCUGAAUCAGCAUGUGUGUUAGUGGAAGCGUCUGGAAAGGCGCGCGAUACAGGGUGACAGCCCCGUACACAAAAGCGCAUGUGCUGUGAGCUCGAUGAGUAGGGCGGGACACGUGGUAUCCUGUCUGAAUAUGGGGGGACCAUCCUCCAAGGCUAAAUACUCCUGACUGACCGAUAGUGAACCAGUACCGUGAGGGAAAGGCGAAAAGAACCCCGGCGAGGGGAGUGAAAAAGAACCUGAAACCGUGUACGUACAAGCAGUGGGAGCACAGGUUUACCUGUGUGACUGCGUACCUUUUGUAUAAUGGGUCAGCGACUUAUAUUCUGUAGCAAGGUUAACCGAAUAGGGGAGCCGGAGGGAAACCGAGUCUUAAUUGGGCGUUAAGUUGCAGGGUAUAGACCCGAAACCCGGUGAUCUAGCCAUGGGCAGGUUGAAGGUUGGGUAACACUAACUGGAGGACCGAACCGACUAAUGUUGAAAAAUUAGCGGAUGACCUGUGGCUGGGGGUGAAAGGCCAAUCAAACCGGGAGAUAGCUGGUUCUCCCCGAAAGCUAUUUAGGUAGCGCCUCGUGAAUUCAUCUCCGGGGGUAGAGCACUGUUUCGGCUAGGGGGCCAUCCCGGCUUACCAACCCGAUGCAAACUGCGAAUACCGGAGAAUGUUAUCACGGGAGACACACGGCGGGUGCUAACGUCCGUCGUGAAGAGGGAAACAACCCAGACCGCCAGCUAAGGUCCCAAAGUCAUGGUUAAGUGGGAAACGAUGUGGGAAGGCCCAGACAGCCAGGAUGUUGGCUUAGAAGCAGCCAUCAUUUAAAGAAAGCGUAAUAGCUCACUGGUCGAGUCGGCCUGCGCGGAAGAUGUAACGGGGCUAAACCAUGCACCGAAGCUGCGGCAGCGACACUGUGUGUUGUUGGGUAGGGGAGCGUUCUGUAAGCCUGUGAAGGUGUGCCGUGAGGGAUGCUGGAGGUAUCAGAAGUGCGAAUGCUGACAUAAGUAACGAUAAAGCGGGUGAAAAGCCCGCUCGCCGGAAGACCAAGGGUUCCUGUCCAACGUUAAUCGGGGCAGGGUGAGUCGACCCCUAAGGCGAGGCCGAAAGGCG